AUAGGAUAAAAUGGAAUGACUGUUUUUCCCCCAGAGAUUAACAUUAUUGAAGUUGGAGCAUCGUCAUUCUCUUUGUGUUCAUCACUUUGAAAAAGCAAGAGACCAGUUGGCUGAAUGUACUCUGCUCCCUACACUUCCUUCAUCUUCUCUAUCUACUAUACAGUGGUGGCUUGGGGCACAGAGCCCUGGGCAUUCUCAAGUGAUGAAAUGGUGUGAAUUCUAAUGUGAGCCCUGAUCCUCUUUUUCGCCCUCCUCUAGCUCUAUGAGAGUGCCCUGACUGAAAAUCAAAAACUGAAAACAAAACUUCAGGAGGCCCAGCUAGAGCUAGCAGAUAUAAAAUCCAAGCUUGAGAAGGUGGCCCAGCAAAAACAAGAAAAGACCUCUGACCGAUCAUCAGUGCUGGAGAUGGAGAAACGGGAGAGGCGAGCCUUGGAGCGCAAAAUGUCAGAAAUGGAGGAAGAAAUGAAGGUGUUAACAGAACUGAAAUCCGACAACCAGAGGCUGAAAGAUGAAAAUGGUGCCCUCAUCAGAGUCAUCAGCAAACUGUCCAAAUAGGCUAGGCUCCAGAAUUAUGAGGAAGGAAAAGAACAGCAUUUGCUGCCUCCACCCUCUUUCCAGUCCUUGCCUUCCAACCAAACGAAAUGGAUGUUUUGGUGGAAGGACACUUCUAACACCCUUUUCAGUCACCUCUGUACACUCUACAUUUUCUCUGCACUCUCAAUGCCCUGUUCUUCCUACACCCCUAUCCCAAGUUUUAUGACAGUUUUAAUUGAAGCAUGAUUGUGAUCAUUCGAGCCAUCUGGAGAGUGCUCUGGGGAGUACACCAGGCUCAGCUGUGGACCCCUCAACUUCCUGCUGCUCAGCUACUUUGUCCACAUUGGAUUUGGUCCAAACAUGUAAGGCUUCUACCCAAAUCAGUAUCCUUCAGCUUUUUACAUUGACUUAGUGUCCUCUGAUAUAGGUGAUUCUUGUGGUAGCCACGCCAGGAUCCUGACUGAGGUGCCAAGAGAAACAGCAGGAUGUUGAGUUGAUCAUUGGAUGGUCUCUGGAGCUGUUAAGAGUCCAAGGUGACAGUGGCUGCAUCGAGGUGUUCUAUUCUUCUUCACCUCUCAGGAACUGACUUAAUUGUAUUUUUUCUAUCAACACCCCAGUAACUCCCUGAUUAAUUUUAACCCUUAUUUCUCCCUCAUACCUAGUCCUUUCUCCAAGGCGCAAAUGGCCCUGGCUUCAUUUAUUCCUUUCCUUUCUGUCCUUGUAUUUUUUUUUUUUCUCACUCUACCACCCCCUCACUCAAUGGUGUAAAAUCUAGGACAGAGCACCUGACUUCAGUUGUCCUUGUCCAUUGUGGGAAAUCAUUAUUCUGGAGACAAGAAAAUCAUCACUCUGGUGCCUUGGUGGCAGCACCACUGCCCCCUCCCUAAAAGCCAGACCAUGGCAUAAGUGUCAGCUCAUUGUUUUCAUCUCCCACUUAUCUUCCCCCUGCAAAGUGAUUUUCUUUGUAAAAAAAAAAUCUGGGCUCUGAAUACCCUAUUCUGCCGCCCUUCCUUGACCUUGUUUUCCUCUCUUCACACUGACACCUGCUUCUAAUGAGAAAUGAUGUCAGUGCAAGGAGGAAUGAGAGGUGAGAAGGGGAGAUGGUUGGGAGACGGACUAGGAAAUGGAAGUAGGCUGGAAAGACACAUACGGCAAAGUCAAGUAUCUGAGGCCACUUGCAACAUUGUGAGAAAGAAGAUGUAUGAUAGCAGCCCAUUAGGCUGUGAGAAUCGUGGUGAAUUUGAUUAUUUCCAAUGGUUAGAUUUAGGGGAGAGAUUUACGUUCUUAGAAAUUAAUAGGGCAAACGGCACUUAAUAGGGGUUUAAUGGAAUGAAGUACUUUUCAACCCAUUGACAAGAGUCAUGGAAGUUUAGAGUGGAAAGGCCCAGAGGUCAGUAGGUCCAGCUUUCUAUUAUUCUGUCACAGGGACCCCUGCUACCGCAGCUUUGACCCAUGGGCAUGGUCAGGUAGCCUCUGGUGGCUAUGCAAUUAUUACUCAAAAGUUAAGCAACUCUAAUAAUGAGAGUUUUUCCUAAUAUGUGUUGAAGUCUGCCUGUGGAUUCUCCUUGUAGUCCAGAUCUAUCUGCAGCUCUUUAACAGCGCUUCAGAUACGUACAGUGGGUGGUCUCCCCUCAGUCUUACUUUGAGCUGCCGUUACCCUGGUCCUAGUCCUUUCAGUUAUCCCUCAUAUGGCAUGCUUUUCUCACCUGUCACAUCCUCCUCUAGACAAAACCAGCCUUUAAAAAUAUCAUGCCCAGGCCUGGAGAGAAUACUCCACAAAUCCAGUGCAAAAUUAAACCUUUAGCUCUUGAUGAUAACUUAGCAUUAAUACUUAAAGUAUUUUCCUUUUGUAGGAGUUUUAUCCUUGGGUUCAUUUGAGUGUGCAGGUCAUUAAAUCCUCAUCAUUUUAGGGUUGCCAAUGAUAUUCAGUGUUUAGAGUGGUUCAUUUCCUUAACAUAUACUACCUCUGUCUGUUAAUUCCUUUCCUGACGUGAUGUGUAGCUCUCUAUAUGGCCCUCUGUCUGAAACAUCAUAUGCUCUUUAAACUAGAAGCUGUAGUUCAAGAUCCCAAUUCCAGAACAGGAGAUAUGUUUCCUCUGACAAAACCCCAUUUUUAGAGUAUAUAAAAUUCUGUCUUCCAUUUCCAACCAUUUUUCAAGAGAAGCUGAUACUGUCUUGGGACUUUGUAUUAUCAUGGGAAUACUGUAAGUUCAGUUCUCAGGGAAUGCUAAAUUAGAGUAGUAAGUUUUAUAUCUUUCACUAUAAGCAUUUCCUUCAUUCUGGGAGAGGAAAUCAACACAAGGUGUUGACUAAUUAAUUAUCCUGGCACAUUUUGAAUAUUGGGGAAGGAAGAUCAUACUUCUUAGGAAAAUUGGAUUACUAGGAAUACAUCUUUACCCCUUUCCACUCAAUAGACCAGAGAAAGGGAUUACAAAGAGUCCCCUCAGAUCUGUUUGUGCCUUUCAAAAGUAUUGGGGGCAGGUUCUCAAAACUCUUAGAUUGGUGUUGUACCCCUGCCACUUCACACGGCCCUUUCAUGUUAAAGCUCACUUUUCUUGCCAAAAAGUUUUCCUUGUGACAAGAAAUUUGCCAGCUUUUCAAUCUCAGGAAUACUGGAUUCUAUGGCCAAGAACUCAUGAAAAUGUAAGCUCUCCUAGGUAAUUUCAGGUACUUUCUCUUAUGCAAUUAAUUUUAGAUGAACUGAUUUCUGGUCUAUCUCCAGAGAUAAAAUAACCAUUCUUUCACAACUGUAUUGUCUGGAAGCCCAAAAAGGUGGUAGUUAUAGGCCUUCUACUAGCCAGCAGUUCUCUCUGGAUACUGGCAUCAGCAGGUCUCCCUUUUCUUGUGCUGCUUAGACAAGUACCUACCGCCAGCCUCUUCAGUGGCCACAAUCCUCAGUCCUCACCUGCUGGUUUGGAUACUGAUGAGCACCCCAGGCAGCUCAAGCUGAAUGAAUAGCUGCAGACUUGGCCAACAAUAUGAGCUCAGGCCUAUCACUUAGCGUCUUUACAUGAAGUAUCAGAAUGGGAAAGAGAAUGUUCUUGGUACAGCCUUACACCCUCUGUUUUCAUUAAUUUGUUAUUUUUCAGAAGCUGAGUCACACCUUUGGAAGUAAUGAUUUGGCCAUUCCAGAGAUUCUGUUGCUAAAGUUCGCCUGUUUGUCUUUCCAGGGCUGCUGACCCUUUUCCAGAUAGCUCCAGAGUAUGAUGACCCCUAGCCCCAUCCCAGUCUGUAGUGAAAGGGUUAUGUGAAUCUCAGGGUGUUGCCACUAAAGAAUCUAAAGAAUAGACAUGCUUUGGGCUUACUCAGUGCACUAGAUUCUCUAGUGGGCCAUUGUCACUUGAUGUUCCCUAGAGCUGCUGUGUCUUCCAGCUGCAGGAUGUGUUUGCUUCUCUUCUGGGCUUUCCCUGGUUUCUGUCCUCGUUCCCACCCCAGGUUUAAGAACACUUAGAUUCAUUUAUUGCUAUCUGAGGCCACUAGUGAGAUUUCAGAUCUGUGUUUUGCAACAUUUUACCCAUUUCCCUUCCCCAAACCAUGUUCUUAUUAAAUGGUUCCACUCAGGAGGCAAGGAAGCUAAAACUCAUUGUCUGUGGAUCCUACAAAAGUAUGUGCGAAUUACUGUUUCUCUACUAGGGGCAUUUCAUUGAGCCAAAGAUAAUGGAAGAAGAAACCUCAAAGCCAUGUACUUUGUUAGGUGUCUGGAUUUUUGUCCUCUUUGCAGCCUUUCGUAGCCACAGACAGACACUGUCUCCCCUCAGAGAAAGGCCAGUGUUUCAGUCCAGGCUACUGGUGCAUGUUGGCACUCAUGAGGUGGGGCAUGGGGUAAGCAGAAGAAGCCUGGAGAAGAGAGAACUAUUCAAAGUGUCACCAGUUAUUCAGCUUCCAGGUGGCUUUACACCUCAAAAGGUACAAAAAGGAAAAAGAAAGCAUAAAGGAUUCAGAAUUUAAGCAAAAAGGAAAGGGAAACUCUACCAGAUGAGGCACUGGUUCCACCGGAGCUUAUCAGUGAGGUAACACUGCAGGAGGCCUGGUGUCCUUCCCUCAGAGAUAUCAUCAGGGGUCCUCAGAUCCCAUUGUUUAUGCCAGCACUGCACUUUAAGCACAGGGUUAUCAGUCAGAGGUGGUGUAAUUGGCCUAAAUCUAGGCCCAGUGAUUACUACAGAUACCAUACUCUAUCACCCAGGCUGGAGUGCAGUUGUGUGAUCUGCAGCUCACUGCAACCUCUGCCUCCCAGGCUCAAGCAAUCCUCUCACCUCAGCCUCUCAAGCAGCUAGGACCGCAGGUCUGCACCACCAUGCCCAGAUAAUUUUUGUGUUUUUUUGUAGAGACAGGGUUUUGCCAUGUUGCCCAGGCUGGUCUCAAACUGCUGGGCUCAAGUGAUCCACCUGGCCGGGCCUCCCAAAGUGGCAGGAUUACAGACACAAGGUACCACGUCCAGCCCAUCAUACUGAUUUUCAAGGCAGGGUCUAACCCCUCAUAAGAUGUGAGUUCUUCUGACACAAUAAGCAAGGCAGCUUUGAGGACAGAAAAAAGCAAUAUAAAAAGAUAAGGUCUUAGAACAUCUGUAUUCCAAGGCCAUCCCUUCUUUUAGCCAUGUGACUUUGGGCAGGUCACCCUCACUGUAAAAUGAGGUUGGACUGGAUAAUUUUUAUGUGCCCUUUCCUAUUGGCUUAGAAUUCCGUGAUUUAUUCAUUCUUAGAAAGAUCAGAAUAUUUCUUGGUAUUUCUGCUUAAAAAAUUCUAACCUCAAAAAUCGAAGUGCAAAAAUUUUUGUUUUCUUCUGGUUUUAAAACUGUUUAACAUGAGCACAUCAAGGCUGACUUCUCAUCCUUGUUGGGAAGCGAAUUUAAUAUUGUGGGUAAUUGAAUGCUGUUGCAAUGGCUUUCCCUCCUAAUGGCUUGGUAAGAUUAUUAAAGCCUGCAGAGGUGGAAAUUGGAGCUCAUGGGGAAAUGGAUAGAAACCAAUUUGUUGCAAGCAGCCUUUGGACAAGUUGUUUUAAUAGGAAAUAGACCUGCUGCUUCAUAGGUUUCCUCAACCACCUUUCCUCAGCUUUCUCAAAAUGUGAUCUACAUUGGCUCUUCACACCCAAAUAGCAGACCAACAGUUUUUCUGUUCAGCGCCAUCUGGUUCAUUGUCUUGAACUCUGCCUUACAGCAGCAAGAUAAUUUUCCUCGAUAAAAACCUCAAUCUUGAGUUCCACUGAGCUCCUCCUCUGGAUCCUGGACUAUCAGAAGUAGGAAGUUCUGGUACUGUUCAAGAUGGUCUUUCCUUCAAAGCAGGUCUGAAGAGGAGACUACCAAAGCAGUAAGUGUUUACAGACCCAGAGUCCACACAACCACAUUGCAUAGAACAGCACUUGGCCUCCGCAGGCUUCCUAUAGGACUGGGUAUAAUUGGAGUGAAAGAGCAGAGACCCUGGAAGCUGUGAUGGGAAGAAGGCAGAAGGCUCAGGGGCUUUGGACAAAGAGUAGGGCGGAAUCUGCAAGCACUGGGAAGGAUUUCACAGAAGCAAAGCUUCGGCACACAGAGGCGAAUUCUGUCUCAGUGGUGACUUCAUCCCUCAGCAGCUAAGCAGAGAUUUUAAUCAGCUUCCUUAAUGGGUAUUGACACUGCUCGGGAAGCAGUAGACCCUAUCAGGGACAGCUAUUGAUCUUUUGUGUUCUGAUUAGAUUGGAAAAUAGAUCAACUUCAUUGUAGUCCAGGAACUGUUGGUCACAGCUACUAGGAAUGAGGUGAUUUCUGAGGGCUGAGAAAAAACAGAGAAUCUUGACCAGCAGCCAGCAGCUGCAUGGUGAAAAAAGGUGCAUUCACUUCUCCUUUGAGAGUUAGGGUUGAGGGCAAACAUAGAACCCAGGGAUGGCUUACAAUCCAGUGUCCCGGAAGCCCUCCUUGUGGAGAACUGUAAGUAAGAGGUGGGUGUGUCUAAAGACAAUACCAUUAAUGAAUGUUCUGGCCUUACCUAAAAAGGUUUAGCAAUUUGGGGAUAACUCUUGCUUCUCGCUUAUGUGUGUUCACAUGCAAAUUUAUGAACCCAGAGCUUUUAAAAUGAGGUCUGGCAUAUAGUUGAUUAGAAAUGAAAACUCAGAAACCAAUUGUAUCCUAGUAUAUUAUUCUACUAAAUCAUAUCUUUUGUUUUUCCCCCUCCCUUUUAAUCCCCCAGAGGACCUAUUUGAACCAUUCCCCAAUUCAUCUGCUUAUCAUUUUGGACUGUGAAUCUGCCAGAGUGAUAUUUUCUGUUAUUUCUCCUCCAGAUUUUUCCCUGAUGUUUCCAAUAAAGAUUUACUUGGGUGGCCCUUUAAGGUGACAUCAGGAUGCUCUUAUGUCCUUCCAGAAUAAACAUACACUUCACCCCUCCACAUUCUUAAUUCCUUGUUUUCCUCACUUGAAGCCAAGGGUGCUUUAGAGAGGUGGUUUUCCAUGAAUCAGCCAAGAUUCCUGGAGAAGUUGAAUAUACCAACCACCACCACUGCCCCCUCUUCCAGUUUCAAAGCUACCCGGCUAUGCUAAUGCCCCCUCAGAGAUGAGGUUUGACUUGUAGGCCCAUAUGACUCCUCCAUGUCCUGGGCAAGGAGACCAUGGGUAGCCAUGUCUGGUUUACUCUGUCCUGAGACUGUUUAUAGCUUAAAACAGAAGUGUGUCUUCCCAGCACAAACUCUGUCAGUGCAUCUCGUGGCAACAGCUCAGCCCAUUCAAAGACCAAGGAUUCAGAAAGGGCACACUGAUAGUGGGGAGCCUCUUAAGAACCUCUAAUGUUCUCCCAAAACCGGAGUUAAGGGUCAGAAUGCAGAUCCUGAAUAAGGGACAUGCUAGGGCCAGAAAUAGCUUGACUCUCGCCUAAGUAUCUGUGCCUUUGCCUGUUCUUUCUCCCAUUCUACUGAGCCUGGAACUGAUUCCCACUUGCCUUCUAAUGAAGAGAGGCCAGGUACAGAGAGUUUGGAGGAAAAAGACACCAGGAGGCAGGCUGCGGGGUUGGAGAGGGUUCUGAAAGGAUGCAGCAAUCCAGAAUACCUCCUUUUCUAGCCAGCAUCCCUUGAACUUCUGAAAGUUUGGGUCUACCACUGGCUGGCACACCAGGGCAAUGAUUUCCCUGAAGGAGGAAGAAAUGUUUCACCCUUGCAUUCUUCUUGGAGAAGAUACAGCCUGUGCUUAGUUGAGUGGUUCAUGCUCAGACUUUGGUGUGAACCACUCAACUUCAUUCUUGUCUUUACCUUGACCUUGAUCAACAGGGGUGAAAAGAACCACCGUGGUGUCUCCAUGCCCUCCCAUUUUAGUAGUAGCAUUUUGUGUCUUUCCUCCACCCCUCACCUGAGUUCCACCAAGGUUAACGCAUCAGAUGUAACUUUUUCAGCUGAGUUGUAUGAUUGAUUAACUUCAGUCCACUGUAAAUACACCUGGGGUGGGGUGGGGUUGGGGGUGUUUAGGAAGAGGAAGCCAGACUUGCUUUGUGAACUGAAUGUAUUUUUAUGCAAUUUUGAGUGGCCUUUCAACCCUAAGACGAUUUUGUUUUACUGGUUGUUAUUAUAUAGUAUUGAGUAUUCUGUGUUUGUUUGAAAGUUUGGGAAUAAUAUUCACAUCUAUAUGAUGCCUGUAAACACAACAGUAUUUAUAAAUGAGUAAAUAAAAUUGUGUUUUAACUUUG